rnacentral:rRNA from 1 species
UGAUUUUUAGGUAUCUUUUUAAAUUUUUAAAAUAGAAAAAUAAAAAUAGGGAAGUGAAACAUCUCAGUACCUAUAAAAAAAACAAUCGUGUAGAAACGUUAGUAGUGGUGAACAAAUGCG